CUAAAAAACAUUAUGCAGCACCCUAGACUAGGCAAACUGAGGUCGGCCAAUUUAAGGGGAAAAAAUGCAUCAAUGGAAAGAGGAAGACAUGCAAAUGCACUUGGUGUAAGAAAAAUAUUCUAAAAAUUCUCCCUAUCUUCCACGGAAAGUUGAAAGUGACUAUUUACAACCCAUUUUUGGGCCUCUUUUACAAUACAAUCGGACUUACAACUCCUAUAUCUGCAAGUAGCAAGGUAGUCGCACUUUUAACAAUUCUCAGGUCCAAAAAUUCAUCAACUGUUUCCAUUCCGUCGUGGUUGAUAUCUACAUAUACAUGUGUUACACGAAUUUUCACAAUAUACUUGGAGUCUGCCGACUUCGCCCUUCUGAUGAAUUUUGGCACUUCAUUUGCCCUUAAUUGUUUGAUUGUUACUGCAGCCAUUGCUUACAAACCCAAGAAGAAAAAGGAGUAAGCUGUUACUCUACCAGGAAGACUUGGACAGUCAUAAAUGGGACUGCAAAAAAUGUAGAAUGGCCUUGGUAAACACUGUAGGUAUGAUAGAAACAGUUAUGUUUACUCAAAUUUUAAAUGUUAGUUAGAUAGUGAUUAGGAUUCUGAAGCUUUUAUUAAGGACCUCACUAGUAUGUGUCACUGUCUCUUGAAUUUUGAAUGUACAACACACAAAUUUUACACUUCCAGUGGAGCUUAAAAAGGAUGAAGACACGAUACUAACAGUGAGAGCAGUGAGUAGGAUGGUGUAAUUUUAAGUCUUUUGAAUACUUUUUAAAAUUUUUAUUGAAAUAUUUUUAUAUUUAUGUAAUAGUUUGUCUUUGAGUAACUUUUUAUUUUUUACUAAGUGACCAUUUUACUCAAAGUAAGACAAGUCAAUUAGCUGUUAUUAAUGACAUUGUAACCUUACGCAGUAAGUAAAAACGAAAGCUGCUAGGCUGUAUUUACAAAACAGUAAGAAAUCUGUAAUACUAUAAUUUAUGACUGGCAAUAAAUACAAGCUUUGAGGAGUUUCCUCUCGCGAUGCAAGCAA